GGGGGCGAAUAGGGUCGACGGAGAUCGGGAUGUUUCGAGUGGCGUGCCGAGGUCCCAGAGGUCUCGUAAAACAACUGGGAACGUAACAACUGCCAACCAAGAACUGGCACUCGCAGCUUAAGCUGCGCGUCUUUUCACUGUAGGCUGCCUGUCCUACCGAAAAGGCGCCGUGAUACAGGCUGGCCGGUCCUCCUCGCUUGAGGGAGGCCCGGCGAGACGCACUCAAGCUAGCGACCGACGCGCCCGCCCCGGGCAGCGGCGGCGGCGAAUCCGAAACGGGGCUACGCACGUAGUCACUCGGGGCUGAAGGUCUUCGGACGCGGGUGCGAUUCCCGCCGCCUCCACCA
rnacentral:tmRNA from 1 species